rnacentral:rRNA from 1 species
AUUGAACGCUGGCGGCAUGCCUUACACAUGCAAGUCGAACGGUAACGGGCCUUCGGGUGCCGACGAGUGGCGAACGGGUGAGUAAUGUAUCGGAACGUACCUUUCAGUGGGGGAUAACGUAGCGAAAGUUACGCUAAUACCGCAUAUUCUGUGAGCAGGAAAGCAGGGGAUCGUAAGACCUUGCGCUGAUUGAGCGGCCGAUAUCAGAUUAGCUAGUUGGUGAGGUAAAGGCUCACCAAGGCGACGAUCUGUAGCGGGUCUGAGAGGAUGAUCCGCCACACGGGAACUGAGACACGGUCCAGACUCCUACGGGAGGCAGCAGUGGGGAAUUUUGGACAAUGGGGGCAGCCCUGAUCCAGCCAUGCCGCGUGAGUGAAGAAGGCCUUCGGGUUGUAAAGCUCUUUCGGCCGGGAAGAAAUCGCACGGGCUAAUACCCUGUGUGGAUGACGGUACCGGAAUAAGAAGCACCGGCUAACUACGUGCCAGCCGCCGCAGUAAAAC